GGCAAGUCUGGUGCCAGCAGCCGCGGUAAUUCCAGCUCCAAUAGCGUAUAUUAAAGUUGUUGCGGUUAAAAGCUACGUAGUUGGAUUUCUGCCAAGGGACGACCGGGUCCACCUUAGGGUGCGUAUCUGUGUUGACUGAGGCAUAUAUCUAGGAAAGCGCCCACUUAACUGUGGUCUGCGUUCUCUAGAGUUUUACUUUGAGGAAAUUAGAGUGUUUCAAAGCAGGCUAUUGCCUGGAUACAUUAGCAUGGGAAUAAUAAGAUAGGACUUCGGGUUCUAAUUUUGUUGGUUUCUAGG
rnacentral:rRNA from 1 species